rnacentral:pre_miRNA from 11 species
AGCGGGGAUUUGUAGGUUCUGCGCAGCUCGGCCAGAAAGCCCUGGUAGUUGUUUCGCAAAGGACUGUCUGGUUGCAUGUGAGGAAUGGCCCACUUCUCAGCCUCCCCAGUCA